CAGAGGGGGCAAGCGUUAUUCGGAAUUAUUGGGCGUAAAGGGCGCGUAGGCGGCCUGGCAAGUGGAAGGUGAAAUCCCUCGGCUUAACCGAGGAACUGCCUCCCAAACUGCUUGGCUUGAGACCAGGAGAGGUGAGUGGAAUCCCCAGUGUAGCGGUGAAAUGCGUAGAUAUUGGGAGGAACACCAGUGGCGAAGGCGGCUCAUUGGACUGGUACUGACGCUGAGGCGCGAAAGCGUGGGGAGCAAACGGGAUUAGAUACCCCGGUAGUCCACGCCGUAAACGAUGAGUGCUUGGUGUAGCGGGUAUCGACCCCUGCUGUGCCGAAGUCAACACAUUAAGCACUCCGCCUGGGGAGUACGGUCGCAAGGCUG
rnacentral:rRNA from 1 species